GCUUUCUUAACCAUGUGUUAGCGUUGCUAGUUGCGGGUGCAAUUGCUUCCAUGUGAUAACAUGGGUUCCUUGUUAUAGCACCCUAUCAAUGCUAUUUAAUUUAAUGCACCUAUAUAGUAAAAGAUGGAAGUCUCGACCUUUCUAGCCUGGUGUUUUGUUCCACCUUUGCCUCCUUAGUUUCGGCUACCGGUGUUAUAUUCCAUAAUUGAGCGCUCCUAACAUUAUCGAGGUUGUUAUGGCGACCCCCUUGAUAAUUCGUUUUAGACUAAAGUUGGUCUAGCAAGGCCCAACAUUGGUACUAUAUUUGCCCAACAUAAUAAUUCUGUUAAUACUAAAAGCAUAGGGAGUUAGCGCUACCUGAGGAGUAAUUCAACAUAAUACAGGGAGGGCCAGUGUUGAUGGUGCUGAUCCAAAACAGAGCACCGUGCGGGGCCAACCCGGGGCAACUCGGGUGAUGUCUAUCAGGCCACCGUAUGCUUCGCUUAUCCGUCGUGUCCUGAGAACGAGAUACGCGGCUCCUA
rnacentral:lncRNA from 1 species